GACGAACGCUGGCGGCGCGCUUAACACAUGCAAGUCGAGCGAGAACCCUCCUUCGGGAGGGGGACAGCGGCGAACGGGUGAGUAACACGUGGGUAAUCUGCCCUCGGUUCUGGGAUAGCCCGGGGAAACCCGGAUUAAUACCGGAUAGCCUCUCGAGCUCUCGGGCUCGUGAGAAAAGGUAGCUUCGGCCUCCGAUCGAGGAGGAGCCCGCGGCGGAUUAGCUUGUUGGUGGGGUAACGGCCCACCAAGGCGACGAUCCGUAGCUGGUCUGAGAGGACGAUCAGCCACACUGGGACUGAGACACGGCCCAGACUCCUACGGGAGGCAGCAGUGGGGAAUAUUGGACAAUGGGCGAAAGCCUGAUCCAGCAAUGCCGCGUGAGUGAUGAAGGCCUUAGGGUUGUAAAGCUCUUUACCCGGGAUGAUAAUGACAGUACCGGGAGAAUAAGCUCCGGCUAACU
rnacentral:rRNA from 1 species